rnacentral:rRNA from 1 species
UACGUAGGUGGCAAGCGUUGUCCGGAAUUACUGGGCGUAAAGGGCGCGUAGGCGGUUAUUUAAGUCUGAUGUGAAAGUGCGGGGCUUAACCCCGUAAAGCAUUGGAAACUGGGUAACUUGAGGACAGGAGAGGAAAGUGGAAUUCCUAGUGUAGCGGUGAAAUGCGUAGAUAUUAGGAGGAACACCAGUGGCGAAGGCGACUUUCUGGAUUGACCCUGACACUGAGGCGCGAAAGCGUGGGGAGCAAACAGG